rnacentral:lncRNA from 1 species
UUAGCUGGUGUUCAAACAGAAUCCUUAGUUGUAUGCAACAGAAAUUGACUUUUUCAGUGAAAGACAAUUCAUUGGAAGAAUGUCAGGCUCUCAAAAUCACUAGGAGAUUGGAGAGUCAAUAAGUGGAAAAGUAGAAACUCAGCAAGCUCCCAGUGGCCCGCACAGGUCACAGAAAGAUAAGGCAGAAACAAAAAUCUCAAGUCAUUUGCAGUAUCUGUCAGCUUUCAAUUUGGCUCUCCUGUCUAGAAGCGUCUCAUGCAAAAAUCCAUCUUUCCGAGCCUUUUUAAGAAUUUUAGAAUUGGAAGGAUGUUAGAGGUAAGUUACUGGAUGCAGGAGAUGAGUCUAAGGAGAUUAGCUGUUUGUUUGUUUGUUUGUUUGUUUUUUCAUUUCAUAUGCCUGAGGCCACAAGCUGAUACCCUUUGCGUUUCAACUACUUAUUGCUAUGUAACAAACGAUCUCCAAUCUUAGUGGCUGAAACAUUUUGUUCAUUUGCUCACAGUCCUGCAAUUUGCAAGACUUGGCUGGGAUAGUUC